UUAAGCAUAUCAAUAAGCGGAGGAAAAGAAACUAACAAGGAUUCCCCUAGUAACGGCGAGUGAAGCGGGAAGAGCUCAAAUUUGAAAUCUGGUGGCCUCAGGUCAUCCGAGUUGUAAUCUAUAGAAGUGUUUUCCGUGCUGGCUCAUGUACAAGUCCCUUGGAACAGGGCGUCAUAGAGGGUGAGAAUCCCGUCCUUGACAUGAACUACCAGUGCUCUGUGAUACAUUUUCAACGAGUCGAGUUGUUUGGGAAUGCAGCUCAAAAUGGGUGGUAAAUUCCAUCUAAAGCUAAAUAUUGGCGAGAGACCGAUAGCGAACAAGUACCGUGAGGGAAAGAUGAAAAGCACUUUGGAAAGAGAGUUAAACAGUAUGUGAAAUUGUUGAAAGGGAAACGAUUGAAGUCAGUCGUGCUCUUUGGAUUCAGCCGGUUCUGCCGGUGUACUUCCUUUGAGUGGGGUCAACAUCAGUUUUGAUCGCUGGAUAAAGGCUGGAGGAACGUAGUACCCUCGGGUAAACUUAUAGCCUCCUGUCACAUACAGUGGUUGGGACUGAGGAACGCAGCACGCCUUUAUGGCCGGGAUUCGUCCACGUACGUGCUUAGGAUGUUGACAUAAUGGCUUUAAACGACCCG
rnacentral:rRNA from 1 species